CGCAGGGGCGGCGGCCGGCGAGCGCUCCGCGCGGCGCGCGUGCGGGCCCACCGGCCAGUGCCCCGGCGCAGCCCCGCCGCGAGCCCGCCCCGCUCUCCCGCCCCGCGCUCGGCGCGGCCGCGCUCGUCGCGCUGCGGCCGAGGCGGCCAUGGCGGCGGGCGCCGGGGCCAGGCCGGCGCCGCGCUGGCUGAAGGCGCUGGGCGAGCCGCUGAGCGCGGCGCAGCUGCGGCGGCUGGAGGAGCACCGCUACAGCGCGGCGGGCGUGUCGCUGCUCGAGCCGCCGCUGCAGCUCUACUGGACCUGGCUGCUCCAGUGGAUCCCGCUCUGGAUGGCCCCCAACUCCAUCACCCUCCUCGGGCUCGCCGUCAACCUGCUCACCACGCUCGUGCUCAUCUUCUACUGCCCCACGGCCACCGAGGAGGCACCAUACUGGACAUACCUAUUAUGUGCACUGGGACUCUUUAUCUACCAGUCACUGGAUGCUAUUGAUGGAAAACAAGCCAGAAGAACAAAUUCUUGCUCACCUUUAGGGGAACUCUUUGACCAUGGUUGUGACUCUCUUUCUACAGUGUUUAUGGCAGUGGGAGCUUCAAUUGCUGCUCGCUUAGGAACUCAUCCUGACUGGUUGUUUUUCUGCUGUUUUAUUGGGAUGUUCAUGUUUUAUUGUGCUCAUUGGCAGACUUAUGUUUCAGGCGUGUUGAGAUUUGGAAAAGUGGAUGUAACUGAAAUUCAGAUAGCUUUAGUGAUUGUCUUUGUGUUGUCUACAUUUGGAGGAGCAACAAUGUGGGACUAUACGAUACCCAUUCUAGAAGUAAAAUUGAAGAUCCUUCCAGUUCUCGGAGUAGUGGGUGGAGCAAUAUUUUCCUGUUCAAAUUAUUUCCAUGUUAUCCUCCAUGGUGGCGUUGGCAAGAAUGGAUCCACAAUAGCAGGCACCAGUGUCUUGUCACCUGGACUACACAUAGGACUAAUUAUUAUACUGGCAAUAAUGAUCUAUAAAAAGUCAGCAACUAAUGUGUUUGAAAAGCAUCCUUGUCUUUAUACCCUAAUGUUUGGGUGUGUCUUUGCUAAAGUCUCACAAAAAUUAGUGAUAGCUCACAUGACUAAAAGUGAACUUUAUCUUCAAGACACUGUCUUUUUUGGGCCAGGUCUGUUGUUUUUAGACCAGUACUUUAAUAAUUUUAUAGAUGAAUAUGUUGUUCUGUGGAUAGCAAUGGUCAUUUCUUCAUUUGAUAUGAUGAUAUACUUUAGUGCUUUGUGCCUGCAAAUUUCAAGACACCUUCAUCUAAAUAUCUUCAAGACUUCCUGUCAUCAAGCACCUGAACAGGUUCACAAGCAUAUUGACUGACUAAUAGCCCAAGGAAAGGAGGAGAUGCAGUUAGGGGAACCUAUGAGUGAAGGAAAUCCCCCUAUGCAGGAGACCAAGCCCAAUUAAAUGACAUUUUGAUGUCUUAUGGAAAUGACAGAUUCACAAAUCCAUAUCUUAAAACUGAUUAUUUAUAUCUCUUGUUCAGUUGAUGAUUUAAUGUUCAGAGGUUCAAGUUCUUUCUUCAAAGAGUCAUCAGAAUAACAUGGAUUGAAGAGACUUUCGAACACUUGCCAUCUCUUGCUGCUGCUGUUUCA